AUUGAACGCUAGCGGGAUGCUUUACACAUGCAAGUCGAACGAGUGGCGGACGUGUGAGUAAUAUACCGGCACGUGCCCAGUAGCGGGGGAUAACUACUCGAAAGUGUGGCUAAUACCGCCUACUAUUGCAGCUGCCGCUAUCGGAUUAGCUAGUUGGUGGGGUAAAGGCUCACCAAGGCCACGAUCCGUAGCUGGUUUGAGAGGACGACCAGCCACACUGGGACUGAGACACGGCCCAGACUCCUACGGGAGGCAACAGUGGGGAAUUUUGGACAAUGGGGGAAACCCUGAUCCAGCCAUCCCGCGUGUAUGAGAAGGCCUUCGGGUUGUAAAGUACUUUUGGCAGAGAAGCGGUAUCUGCAGAAUAAGCACUGGCUAACUACGUGCCAGCAGCCGCGGUAAUUC
rnacentral:rRNA from 1 species